ensembl:lncRNA
AGCUGUGGUAGUUGUUGGUCCAGCUGUGGUAGUUGUUGGUCCAUCAGUGGUAGUUGUUGGGGCAGCUGUGGUAGUAGUUGGGGCAGCUGUGGUAGUAGUUGGCCCAGCUGUGGUAGUUGUUGGUCCAGCGGUGGUCGUAGUUGGAGCAGCUGUGGUAGUUGUUAGUCCAGCGGUGGUAGUUGUUGGUCCAGUGGUGGUAGUUGUUGGUCCAGCGGUGGUAGUUGUUGGGGCAGCUGUGGUAGUUGUUGGACCAGCUGUGGUAGUUGUUUGUCCAGCUGUGGUAGUUGUUGGUCCAGCUGUGGUAGUUGUUGGUCCAGCUGUGGUAGUUGUUUGGGCAGCUGUGGUAGUUAUUGGGGCAGCUGUGGUAGUUGUUGGUUCAGCGGUGGUAGUUGUUGGUCCAGCUGUGGUUGUUGUCGGUCCAGCAUUAGUGGUUGUUGGUCCGGCGGUGGUAGUUGUUGAGGCAGUUGUGGUUGUUGUUGAUCCAGCUGUGGUAGUUGUUGGUCCAGCGGAG